UACGUAGGGCGCAAGCGUUAUCCGGAAUUACUGGGCAUAAAGCGCACGUAGGCGGUUCGUUAAGUCAGGUGUGAAAUCCCCCGGCUCAACCGGGGAAUUGCGCCUGAUACUGGCGGGCUAGAGAUCGAUAGGGGUGAGUGGAACUCCAGGUGGAGCGGUGAAAUGCGUAGAUAUCUGGAGGAACACCGGUGGCGAAAGCGGCUCACUGGAUCGAUACUGACGCUGAGGUGCGAAAGCUAGGGUAGCAAACGGG
rnacentral:rRNA from 1 species